AAGGUUUUCCUGCAACGACUUCUGCACAGCACCUUUUACAGGUGGAGGGAGUGCCACUAAGAAAACUCUGAGGUGAACGUACCAGCUCUAAAUAGCUGCUGAUGUCCUUUAUCAGCAAAGGAAGUUUGACCAGGAAACUAAAACAGUUAAAGUGUCGCAGAAGAGAAGGAGAGGAUGUUAAAAUCACCGUUCUCUGUGUUUCUCUUCUGUUUGUUGCGACAUCUGGACUGUACAGGUAAAUCCCAAAAGGUUGAUUCUGUUCAUCUGGAUCUUUUCAGUGGGAGAAACAUUUCAUCACUGAUCCAGUUUCCCAGCAUGCAUCUAGGGUGCAGGUGUAUGAGGGGGCGGAGUUUGUCCUGCUGCCCUGUCAGGUACCAGCUGAUGUUUCCAGUGACUCCACAGCUGUGGUGUGGAACCGUGAUGAGUUCACGAUCCCAAUGGUCCACAAGCGUGUGCAGAGCAGUGACGAUCUUACAAACCAAAACCUUCGUUACCUCGGUUGAACAUCAAUGAGAGCCACCGCUCUGCAGACUGGAGACCUCAGCCUCACUCUGAGGAACCCCACAGUCUCUGACAGUGGAACCUAUACCUGCACCGCCCGCAAGACUGGAGACAAUCUGAAGGAGAUCCAUGUGCAGCUGAAGGUCUCAGAACCUCCUCCCCGCUGGCCCAUAGCUGUGGCAUUCGUGGUUCCUGUGCUCCUCCUGGCUGUUAUCUUUGGUGCCCUCGUGUACCAUGCAAAUAAUAAAGUAAAGAACAGAGCAGUCUCCAUGCUGAAAGCAGAGAAGGUGACAGAGGGGGCGGAGUAUAUCAAACUGCUCUGGGAUAAGAGUGAAGUUCCGCCUGCUGCUGUCAGAGUGAAGUGGACACGUCUACAACCCAAACAUGGACAGAUCUGUGAGUGUGUGAAGGAUCAGACGGGUCAGUGGAAGCUCGAGUCUGGUCCUGUUUAUAAAGGUCGUGUACAGAUGGAUCAGCUGACUGAAGGAGACUUCACCCUGACUCUGAUGAAGCCUCGCUGUGAAGAUGGAGGUGUUUACUUGUUUGUCGUCUACGGCCAGGAUGGAAAACCCCUUAAACUGACAAUAGUGGCACUGUGGGUCAAAGAGACCUGGUGGAAAAUCAUCACAGGCUUGUCUGAGAGGAGAACCCUCGACACUGAAGAAAAGAUUAUAGGUCCAGGGUGGUGCUGCUCCAGGGGAGGAGAUGCCCUGCUGUUGCCUGGGACAUGAUCUGGCUACCCUUUUUCUUUCAGACAGGAAUCUGAGUUUGAUGAGUUGACGCAUGAGAGUGUCCAUGCGUCAAGUGGUGGGGUCCAGAAUUAACACUAAACAAUGUUUACUAUUAUUGUUGCAGUGAGUUGUGUGAUUAACCGUUUAUUUACAUGUUCAGAUGAGGCUUUGAUGGCCUAUAAGUGAAGUUCACUGAACUAAAGAAUGUGGUUUGAUGAUUGUUGACAUGCUCUCCAAAUAGAAGUUUUUCUGAAAUACAGGUGCAGCAGUGAGACGCGAGAAACAUUCCAGGCAUAGCGGACAGCCCAGGCAGUGGUUGAGGUCAAAGGUCAAGCUGGUUGGGGCCCAUCAUGAGAUCAGACCUUGGAGCCACAGCAAGGACCAUUUCAACUGCCUGCAAAAUAGCGAGAGACCCUCCUGGAUUUAUCAGAGCCACUGCAAAGAGGUCGAGGUCCCAGGAAACCCCGGCACCCCCAAGACAGCACAAUAGAGAAAUCUCACACUUGGUUGUUUCAGUGGUGAGGGGGGAGUGCUGAUUGAGCCCCCGUAGGGUAAGCUCGCACUUCAACCUCCAGCCUCUGAUCAACUCUAGGGCAACCAAGUGCGAGGCGUGACGCACCUGUGUGCAACCAUGGGAAGGUGGACCCUCUUGGUUACCUUGACUACGACGCUCACCUUUACAGGACCCCAGCUGGUGCCGGAAUCAGCUGAACCAGGAGGAAGGCAGAGAGGAUGGACACAUGACAACUCUCACCUAAGAGACAUGAUGCAAGACCACAUCCCUCCAUGGAUGAAUAAUGCCUGGUACCGUUAUAUCCACGACAGAACAAAGGCAGAAUCGGCAAAUACAGACUAUUAUGUCUGUUCCCAUCUACCCAGCACGGCAACAUACCCCACACUAUAUAUGUUCCUGGACCAACUCUCAGGGAAGAACUACUCUAUGAUAUUAGCAGAGAAAGGGGACUUUGUGUCCUCUUCAACAACACAUGCUGCAUUUACAUAAAGAAGACGCACAUUCAUCAAACAUGACUGACGCCCUGAAUGUUUUGAGACAGAUCCAGCAGGCCCAAAAUCAGGACUAUCCAUGACGAAAAGGAGUGCCUGAGAGGAUCGUCCACAAGAUGGGAGCUGAGGCCAGGAGAGAGACUUCAGGAGGAUCAGAGAUCAUCUUCAGCACAGCAGACAUCACACAGAGAGCUGUGCUACUGAGCUUCCAGGAGAUCAAGAGGAGACUUCCCACAGCAAGAUUUUAAAUACAAUGAAAGAUUCAAUGUUGACGCUGAGGAAGACAACUAAGGUGUACGACGUGCUCUGCCUUAAACCUUCAGCAGCGUUGGAAGGAGUCUAAGGAUGACAUCAUGAUUCUGUGAAAAGCACAGGAACCAGAAGCUAUGGUGGUGAUAACAGCAGUUUCCUAUGAGGUCUGCAGCUUUGGAAAUAGCUGAGACCCAUGUUGACAAACAACAAAACUAACUGGUAUGUUUGAAUGUCUAUUCUACAUACAUUUGGACUCUGGUCCUAUGGACAGUGAUGGAAACAACUGGAAGAGACAUUUAUGACACCCUGCAGAACUCAAACCACUCUGCAGAGAGACAUGUGAUUGCACACCCGGAGGAAGCAUCACCAAGAUGGGAUGUUUUUGAAAAUGUUAUCUUCUUAUUUUCACUAUUAAAUUAACAAUUUCUUUGUUUGUUUGUAGGAUGCAGUUUGCCAUGAGAUGAGCUCAAUGGGGAAUGGGAUAUCCGCUAAUACCUUUGUUAAACUCUGUACUUUUACAGUGAUUUAGGGUGAUUUGACGUAUGCUGAGUAUAACAAUGUUGGCAUUGAAACUGUCAGACAUGAGGUAUUCAUAACUGGAAACUUUUCUAGCAUAAAGGUCAAUAAAGGGGGGAAUGUUAGGUUUUGUAUUGUUGAUUGUCAUUUAUGCUUAGAAACAUUUACUCAUAUAUGCUUAGAAGUGUAUAAUCAAUUGUAGAUUGAAAGAAUGUCUCAUCCUAGGAGGUCUGUAACAACUCUGUGUAGCAUGAAGAGGGGAGUGCGUUCACUCCUCUACAGAGUGUGUUCUGGCAUAGAUCACACCCCCUAGGAGAGGUUUUAUCUUUUCUUGAUAUAUGGUAUAGCAAACACAUGUAUAUCUGUUUGAGUGUAAGAGCCUUUUGUUUAGAUGGACCUGUUAGACUCCUGGCACCAGCUUUGGGGAGUCUUCACAGGGUCACAUCUUGACCUCACACACACAGUAUUCUUUGUUCACAUGUAUACCUAUGUAAGAUGUUAUAUGUUAAUGACCCAAUGCAUAUUCAUGUCACCACAAUAAAAGGAGUGCUCUGGGGAGUCUGGCUGAGAGUCUGACGGAGGUCAAGUGGUGGGACGACACUUGGCUCCAGCCAGAUCUCCCUCAUGCAUGAGUGAACCAGAGAACUUUGGUGCCUUGAGUCUUGCUUUUUGAUGCGUAGCAGAUUGUCCUUAACGUUCCAGCGAAUAGGUUUAUGCUACAAACCUAUCAUUCCCCAUCACAUUCAUCACCUGUUCCUCUGGUGUCUCUGAUUGGAGCACGCAGGUGUGUGGAGCAGAGUGAAAUCACACACCUAAUGCUGUUUUAUUCAACCUGGAUCUUAGAAGUUUUGAUUAACAUUAAACAUCGUUUAAACUGUA
ensembl:lncRNA